rnacentral:siRNA from 1 species
AACAUCAGUCCCGAUCUUGAUGUG